UACACACACAUUCUCGUGAUCCGGUUGGUGAUCGGUUCGAAGAUCGGUUAUUGGCUUCCUUUUUUGGCAUUCCACCAUCCAUCCAGCCCUGUGUGGGUCCCCCCAAACAGGACUCAUAGCACGCCAGGUCCAUUACGGAAUGCCGAAAUGCGCUUGCCUGUGAGCUAGAAGAUGGAAGAAGGGGCAUGGUUGAUUAAAUCAUGUACGGUUGUCGGAGCGAUUUCAGGACGCGUUUUGGGAUGUUUUUUUAUGUUCGUCAAAACUCUGCAACUACCCCGCAAACGGCUCUGCUUCAGUGA